GAUGAACGCUGGCGGCGUGCCUAAUACAUGCAAGUCGAGCGAACAGACGAGGAGCUUGCUCCUCUGACGUUAGCGGCGGACGGGUGAGUAACACGUGGAUAACCUACCUAUAAGACUGGGAUAACUUCGGGAAACCGGAGCUAAUACCGGAUAAUAUAUUGAACCGCAUGGUUCAAUAGUGAAAGACGGUUUUGCUGUCACUUAUAGAUGGAUCCGCGCCGCAUUAGCUAGUUGGUAAGGUAACGGCUUACCAAGGCAACGAUGCGUAGCCGACCUGAGAGGGUGAUCGGCCACACUGGAACUGAGACACGGUCCAGACUCCUACGGGAGGCAGCAGUAGGGAAUCUUCCGCAAUGGGCGAAAGCCUGACGGAGCAACGCCACGUGAGUGAUGAAGGUCUUCGGAUCGUAAAACUCUGUUAUUAGGGAAGAACAAAUGUGUAAGUAACCAUGCACGUCUUGACGGUACCUAAUCAGAAAGCCACGGCUAACUACGUG
rnacentral:rRNA from 1 species